CCUACGUGCGGCAGCAGUGGGGAAUAUUGGACAAUGGGCGAAAGCCUGAUCCAGCCAUGCCGCGUGUGUGAAGAAGGCCUUCGGGUUGUAAAGCACUUUCAGUGGGGAAGAAAGCCUUGGGGCUAAUACCCUCGAGGAAGGACAUCACCCACAGAAGAAGCACCGGCUAACUCCGUGCCAGCAGCCGCGGUAAUACGGAGGGUGCGAGCGUUAAUCGGAAUUACUGGGCGUAAAGCGCGCGUAGGCGGUCUGAUAAGCCGGUUGUGAAAGCCCCGGGCUCAACCUGGGAACGGCAUCCGGAACUGUCAGGCUAGAGUGCAGGAGAGGAAGGUAGAAUUCCCGGUGUAGCGGUGAAAUGCGUAGAGAUCGGGAGGAAUACCAGUGGCGAAGGCGGCCUUCUGGACUGACACUGGCGCUGAGGUGCGAAAGCGUGGGUAGCAAACAGGAUUAGAUACCCCAGUAGUC
rnacentral:rRNA from 1 species